CCCAACUCCGGCCCAGCAGGGGGGGUAACAGGUGGGGGGGGAGCGUUGUCCGGAUUUAUUGGGCGUAAAGAGCGCGUAGGCGGGUUGGUAAGUCGGGUGGGAAAACUCUGGGCUCAACUCAGAGACGCCACCCGAUACUGCUAUGACUUGAGGCCGGUAGGGGAGUAUGGAAUUUCCGGUGUAGCGGUGAAAUGCGCAGAUAUCGGAAGGAACACCAGUAGCGAAGGCGGUACUCUGGGCCGGAACUGACGCUGAGGAGCGAAAGCGUGGGGAGCGAACAGGAUUAGAUCCCCGGGUAGUC
rnacentral:rRNA from 1 species